rnacentral:rRNA from 1 species
AAUCUUCCACAAUGGGUGCAAACCUGAUGGAGCAAUGCCGCGUGAAUGAAGAAGGUUUUCGGAUCGUAAAGUUCUUUUAUUAGAGAAGAACAAGUCAAGGAGUAACUGUCUUGACUUUGACGUUACCUAACCAGAAACUCACGGCAAACUACGUUCCAGCAGCCGCGGUAAUACGUAGGUGACAAGCGUUGUCGGGAAUUAUUGGGCGUAAAGGGAGCGCAGGCGGUUGGAAUAGUCUGAUGUGAAAGCCCACGGCUUAACCGUGGAAGGUCAUUGGAAACUGUCCAACUUGAAUGCAGAAGAGGUAAGUGGAAUUCCAUGUGUAGCGGUGAAAUGCGUAGAUAUAUGGAGGAACACCAGUGGCGAAGGCGACUUACUGGUCUGUGAUUGACGCUGAGGCUCGAAAGCGUGGGUAGCGAACA